CGGAGAGGGAGCAUGAGAAACGGCUACCACAUCUAAGGAAGGCAGCAGGCGCGCAAAUUACCCAAUGCCGAUACGGCGAGGUAGUGACAAGAAAUAACAAAGUAUACGGCUAUGUCGUUAUACUAUUGGAAUGAGUAGAAUUUAAAUCUCUUUUCGACUAUCAAUUGGAGGGCAAGUCUGGUGCCAGCAGCCGCGGUAAUUCCAGCUCCAAUAGCGUAUAUUAAAGUUGUUGCGGUUAAAAAGCUCGUAGUUGGAUUUCUGUACGAGAGCACCGGUCCGCAUUUUGUGCGUGUAUCUGGUAGAACUUGUGCAUCCUCUUAUUUUCAAAUCUGCGCUUCAUUGCGUGGUUUUGUGGAUAAGACUUUUACUUUGAGGAAAUUAGAGUGUUCACGGCAGGCAAGCGCCCUGAAUAUGUUAGCAUGGAAUAAUAAUAUAAGACUUCGGUUUUAUUUUGUUGGUUUCUAAAGCUGAAGUAAUGAUUAAUAGGAACAGUUGGGGACACUUGUAUUAACUCGCUAGAGGUGGAAUUCUUGGAUUGAGUUACGACAAACUACUGCGAAAGCAUUUGUCAAGGAUGUUUUCAUUGAUCAAGAACGAAAGUGAGGGGGUCGAAGACGAUUAGAUACCGUCAUAGUCCUAACUAUAAACGAUUCCGACUAUGGAUCGGAAGAGUCUCUUUAGCUCUUUCGGCACAUUAUGAGAAAUCAUGAGUCUUUGGGUUCCGGGGGGAAGUAUGGACGCAAGUCUGAAACUUAAAGGAAUUGACGGAAGGGCACACCAGGAGAGGAACUUGCGGCUUAAUUUGACUCAACACGGGGAAACUUACCAGGUCAAGACAUAGGUAGGAUUGACAGAAAUGAGAGCUCUUUCUUGAUUCUAUGGGUGGUGGUGCAUGGCCGUUCUUAGUUGGUGGAGUGAUCUGUCUGGUUAAUUCCGUUAACGAACGAGACCUUAACCUGCUAAAUAGGAGCCAGAUGUACAAUCUGGUGUCCUUCUUAGAGGGACUAUGCGUGCAAACGCAUGGAAGUUUGAGGCAAUAACAGGUCUGUGAUGCCCCUAGACGUCCUGGGCCGCACGCGUGUUACAAUGACACGGUCAGCAAGUAUUUCCUGCCUCGAUAGAGGCUCGGGUAAUCUUAUUAGUCCGUGUCGUAGUGGGAAUUGUCCUUUGUAAUUAUAGGACAUGAACUAGGAUUUCCUAGUAUAGGUGUGUCAUCAGCGCACCUAGAUUAAGUCCCUGCCCUUUGUACACACCGCCCGUCGCUCCUACCGAUUGAGUGAUUCGGUAAACCUUCUGGACUAGAUGAGCCUUCGAGGCUUAUCUGGGAAGUUAAGUAAACCAUUAUCACUUAGAGGAAGGAGAAGUCGUAACAAGG
rnacentral:rRNA from 1 species